rnacentral:rRNA from 1 species
CCCACGCAUGGGCUUACAAUGCAGUCGAGGGGAAACGGGCGCCAAGCUUGCUUGGCGCAGUCGUCGACCGGCGAAUGGGUGAGUAACGCGUAUCCAACCUGGCUUCAAGCAGGGAACAGGCUUUCGAAAGAAAGAUUAAUACCCUAUGUGGUCCUCGGAAGACAUCAGAGGAGGACGAAAGAUUCAUCGCUUGAAGAUGGGGAUGCGUCUGAUUAGGCAGUUGGCGGGACAAGGGCCCACCAAACCGACGAUCAGUAGGGGUUCUGAGAGGAAGGUCCCCCACAUUGGAACUGAGACACGGUCCAAACUCCUACGGGAGGCAGCAGUGAGGAAUAUUGGUCAAUGGGCGGAAGCCUGAACCAGCCAAGUAGCGUGCAGGAUGACGGCCCUAUGGGUUGUAAACUGCUUUUGAAGGGGAGUAAAGUGAGCGACUUGUCAUUCAUUGCAAGUACCCUUGGAAUAAGGACCGGCUAAUUCCGUGCCAGCAGCCGCGGUAAUACGGAAGGUCCGGGCGUUAUCCGGAUUUAUUGGGUUUAAAGGGAGCGUAGGCUGCCCGGCAAGCGUGCUGUGAAAUACAGUGGCCCAACCACUGGACUGCAGCGCGAACUGUCGGGCUUGAGGGCGCACGACGCAGGCGGAAUUUGUGGUGUAGCGGUGAAAUGCUUAGAUAUCACGAAGAACCCCGAUUGCGAAGGCAGCUUGCGGGAGCGCGACUGACGCUGAAGCUCGAAAGUGCGGGUAUCAAACAGGAUUAGAUACCCUGGUAGUCCGCACGGUAAACGAUGGAUGCCCGUUCUGCGGCCUUCGGGCCGCGGGACCAAGCGAAAGCAUUAAGCAUCCCACCUGGGGAGUACGCCGGCAACGGUGAAACUCAAAGGAAUUGACGGGGGCCCGCACAAGCGGAGGAACAUGUGGUUUAAUUCGAUGAUACGCGAGGAACCUUACCCGGGCUUGAAUUGCAGACUAAUGCGGCGGAGACGCCGCAGUCCUUCGGGAAGUCUGUGAAGGUGCU